rnacentral:rRNA from 1 species
AAGAUGUGAAUAAGAAGCAGCAGCUACUUUACUAGCAUGUCACGUCAGGCCCUCCGGGGGCAUUAUCACCUUGAGUCCUCACAAUGACCCUCUGAGUUGAACAUUUGUCAGACAAGGAAACCAGGGCUUGGAGAGUCGCCCAGUGUUACACAGCUAUAAGCUGGAACCCAGGACCCACAGCCAGGGCUCCCUAAUCACUGGGUGCCACCCCCGACCCCACCAGCACAGGCUUCCUCGACUUUGUUGGUUCCUGCUGCGGGUAGGGUUCUACUGUUCCGUGGUAGGCAUUAGGUCUCUGAGGGCCUGGACCAUUUUGUUUCAUUUACUCUAUUACGUUUGUCCGGCCACCUUCUACCGACAUCCCCUGGAUCUAGCCCUUAUCUUGGGCAUUUAGAAACUACGAGGCAGUUCGGGGACUUUCCGUUGGUCGGUCGUGGUGGCUGAGUCGUGUGCUCCGAAUGGCAGGGGUACCUUUGGG